rnacentral:ncRNA from 2 species
UUCAGGAUUAAGGCGUGUGGUCCCGAGCGACUAAAAGGAGUCGAGGGAAUACGAGGAGAGGGGUUUUGCGAAAAUUUUGCAAAACGAUCGGACUUAGCCUUUUAAGGGCUAAAGUAUCAGCGGAAACCCUCAGGUUGCGGUUACCAACCUGGAUGCGUCAAUUAAAAGCGUUCGGAAACAAACGAAACAAAGUUGACGCUAUGUAAUUAC